AUUGAACGCUGGCGGCAGGCUUAACACAUGCAAGUCGAGCGAGCGGCGGACGGGUGAGUAAUGUCUGGGAAACUGCCUGAUGGAGGGGGAUCACUACUGGAAACGGUAGCUAAUACCGCAUACCAUCAGAUGUGCCCAGAUGGGAUUAUCUAGUAGGUGGGGUAAGGGCUCACCUAGGCGACGAUCCCUAGCUGGUCUGAGAGGAGGACGAGCCAAACUGGAACUGAGACACGGUCCAGACUCCGACGGGAGGCAGCAGUGGGGAAUAUUGCACAAGGGGCGCAAGCCGGAUGCAGCCAUGCGGCGUGUGUGAAGAAGGCCUUCGGGGUGUAAAGCACUUUCAGCGAGGAGGCGUUACUCGCAGAAGAAGCACCGGCUAACUCCGGGCCAGCAGCCGCGGUAAUUC
rnacentral:rRNA from 1 species